rnacentral:rRNA from 1 species
CCCUUAGAUGUUCUGGGCCGCACGCGUGCUACACUGAGUAAUUCAAUGGGUAAGGGAACGCUAGAGCAUUACCUAAUCUUGAAAUUUGCUCGUGAUGGGGAUCGACGGUUGCAAUUUUCCGUCGUGAACGAGGAAUACCUUGUAGGCGCAUGUCAUCAUCAUGCGCCGAAUACGUCCCUGCCCUUUGUACACACCGCCCGUCGCUCCUACCGAUUGAAUGGUCCGGUGAAGCGCUCGGACCGCGGCCUCUUGACGAUUCGCUGUCGAUUGGCUGUGGGAAGUUCGUUAAACCUUACCAUUUAGAGGAAGGAGAAGUCGUAACA